rnacentral:rRNA from 1 species
GACGAACGCUGGCGGCGUGCUUAACACAUGCAAGUCGAACGGAAAGGCCCUGCUUUUGUGGGGUGCUCGAGUGGCGAACGGGUGAGUAACACGUGAGUAACCUGCCCUUGACUUUGGGAUAACUUCAGGAAACUGGGGCUAAUACCGGAUAGGAGCUCCUGCUGCAUGGUGGGGGUUGGAAAGUUUCGGCGGUUGGGGAUGGACUCGCGGCUUAUCAGCUUGUUGGUGGGGUAGUGGCUUACCAAGGCUUUGAGGGGUAGCCGGCCUGAGAGGGUGACCGGCCACAUUGGGACUGCGAUACGGCCCAGACUCCUACGGGAGGCAGCAGUGGGGAAUAUUGCACAAUGGGCGGAAGCCUGAUGCAGCAACGCCGCGUGCGGGAUGACGGCCUUCGGGUUGUAAACCGCUUUCGCCUGUGACGAAGCGUGAGUGACGGUAAUGGGUAAAGAAGCACCGGCUAACUACGUG